CUUGUGUAUGGUUCCCCAAGAGUUU
rnacentral:piRNA from 1 species